GGAAAGGGUCAGUGGCAAAGCAUCUGCUUUGCAUGCAGAAAGUCCCAGAUUCAAUCCCUGGCAUCUCCA